rnacentral:rRNA from 1 species
UACGGGGGGGGCAAGCGUUGUUCGGAAUUACUGGGCGUAAAGGGUUCGUAGGUGGCCAACUAAGUCAAACGUGAAAUCCCUCAGCUUAACUGGGGAACUGCGUCUGAUACUGGUUGGCUUGAGUGCAGGAGAGGAACGCGGAAUUCCAGGUGUAGCGGUGAAAUGCGUAGAUAUCGGGAGGAACACCAGUAGCGAAGGCGGCUCGCUGGGCCACUCCUGACGCUGAGACGCGAAAGCUAGGGGAGCGAACAGG